UACGGGGGGGGCAAGCGUUGUUCGGAAUUACUGGGCGUAAAGGGCGCGUAGGCGGCCGAUCAAGUCGGGGGUGAAAGCCUGUGGCUUAACCACAGAAUGGCCUUCGAUACUGUUUGGCUUGAGACCGGAAGAGGUUAGUGGAACUGCGAGUGUAGAGGUGAAAUUCGUAGAUAUUCGCAAGAACACCAGUGGCGAAGGCGGCUGACUGGUCCGGUUCUGACGCUGAGGCGCGAAAGCGUGGGGAGCAAACAGG
rnacentral:rRNA from 1 species